ACUGUGAGACAAUACAUUUCUGUCGUUAAGCCACUCUGGCUGUGGUACGUUGUUAUGGCAAAGCCCUAGCAAACUGAUACACCAGCUUAAGUGCAUUUGUAGCAAGGAGAUAUCUGUCAGCUCUGGUCACCAGGCUGGUGACCCUCCUGUCACCCAGGAAGCGCUCCUCUGCCCUUAACCUCAGUCCUCCCCAGGGAGGUGCCAGAGGAGGUCUGACAGCAGCCUUCACCUUUUGUAACCAAGCAAGCUGGCCUCACAAGGCACAGUGGUCUCCGUUACGGCUAGGUUCCUGAGAGUUCCAGGCUUCCUCGACAUGAGCAAGCUGGGCCACAGGGAGAUGCUGCUUUGCUGCUGAGGAACGUGAUGACCCCCAAACAGAGAGUCUAUGCUCACAGCCAUCAUCAAGGACAAUGGAGAGAUCUGGUGUGGCAGCUCCCAGUCUGUAACUCCAGAGGGUCAACAUUCCUAACCCCCUCCCCUGUGACCCACCGGCCUACAUAACUGCUUCCAGAUUCUGUGCCUCCUUAAGAUGGUUCUUUUGGACAUUAGUCAGCCAUCGUCCCUCUUGCUAGCAAGCUGGAAUAAGAUGCCCUUUCUCUGCCGCCAUCUUGCCUCUUGACGAUUGGCUUUUAUCUCACGUUACUGGCGUGGUUCUUCUCUCCUCCCUGGACCCCGACGGACCCAGAGCCCACUGCAGUUAUACACGGACCCGCCAGUUCCAAAGACAGACCCUUGUGAUGACGCUGGGCCAGCAGAAUGAUCCAGAAUAAUCUCCCCGUCUCAAGAUCCUUAACUUCACCACAUCUGCAAUGUCCCUGUUGCCAGACGCUCCAGGGCACCGUACAGUGUGGUUGAAAGCGUGACCUGGCUGAAGUCAAACCCCGGCUCUGACAUUUACCAGGUGUGCAAAGUAUUGAGCAAAGCAUUUCUCUGUCCCUCAGUUUCUUCUUCCGUAUAGCGGGUUAAUAAGAGUACCCGUCCCCUAGGCUUGCUGUGAAGACGAAAUGAAGUGAUAUGUGUAAAAUGCUAAGCACACGCCUAGCAUGCAGUGCUUGCUCAGCAAAAUGAGCGAGGUCUAAGUGUUGUUUCCAGGAAGGUCUGGACUAAUCAUGGAGAUAAGUUCAAGAAUCUGCUUAAUAAACUGAGAGCCCACUUGAUCCUGAUUCUACGUUUCUGGCACAGAGUCUGAGAGAAUAGCGACAAAUAUAACAGAACUCUCUUCCUGUUUGAAAGUCAGCUGUGCCAUCUCGAGUGCGUUACUUCAUGUCUCUGAGGUUUCAGAGUCUUCAGCUGUGAAAUAGGCUAACCCAGCAGUUACCCCCGGAAUUGUGGCAAAGAUGAAGUGCCACCAAGCAUGUAAAGGAGGCAUUAGACAGCGGGAGCAGGAAUGACCAUCGCUCUUGUUAAGAACAAGCGAAA
rnacentral:lncRNA from 1 species